UUUUGGCAUGAUAAAUCACUCGUAAUAGUUAUGAAUAUGAAAUUCACAGGGCACGUGUAGAGUGGUGCCUGAAGCUCACAUACCAAAAAUCGUGUUUGUCCUGCUUGUAGCGCCCCCUACAGGAUAAAAAAACAUCAGCCCCGGCGCCACGUUUCACCGACAUGUACGAAACUCAAUAGGCAUGUAUAAUGUGCCGGGGCGUACAAAAAAGCCUCUUGGACCCAUACCUCAAAUCCCACAGGAAGUCGGCUAUUUUCAUUUAAAAUUUGCACUUUUGGCGGCCAUUUUGUGGUCAUUUUGACUCUUUGGGCUUGUUUUAGAACUAACUGCUCCUAGGGAAUUUAUCAGAUCUGCUUCAAAAUUGGUCAGUACAGUCAAAACAUGGUGCUGAAUGAACGCCUUAUAUUUUGUGACUGUACGUUGAAGGGCGUGUCCGUGGCGUGCCCUCAAAGUUCGCCAUUUUGAACAAAUGUCACACUGUGAUGUCAUUUUGGCCUUUCAGGGCUUCUAUUUGAAUGAUUUCCUCUGACACGUUCUAACGGAUCUUCUUCAAAAAUGGGCAGUACAGUCACAACAUGGUGCUGAAUGAACGCAUUUCAUUUUGUGACUGUACGUUGAAGGGCGUGUCCGUGGCCUGCCGUCAAAGUUGGCCAUUUUGAAGCCCGUGGUCUUGUAUUUGAACAAACAAACUCGAGACAUUAUCAGAUGUGCUUCAAAACUUGACAGUACUCUUGAAUAAUCUUGCUGAUUACAAGUUGUGCUAUUUAUGACUGUACGUUGAAGGGCGUGUCCCAGGUGUCUCGUCAAAGUUGGACAUUUUGAAUUCUGUGGUCUUUUUUUCAAAGUGAUGAAACACAAACACCCCUCCGCUCCCACUAGCCACAUCUACAAACCAUAUUUCCUAGGGAGUAUUGUUCGUGGAGCAUAGUGUGAAACCGCUGGAAGUCACUUAUUAAAUUGCAAGAUAAAUAGGGGACUUAUCAAAUCGACUUCAAAAUUGGACAGUCUUAUAAAAACAAAGUGUACAUGAAGAAUUGAGCUAUUUGUGGCUGUACGUCAAACUGCGUGCCACUGACCCCUUGUCAAAUUCAGAUGAUUUUCCAUUAAGCGGUACUCGUAACUUCAGUGUGCAAUGUCCAAUUUCCAAUAAACUUCAUAUAUUCUGUAACAGUCUCGCCCUGAACACGUCCUCAUAACAUCAGCCUACGUAUUACAGUCCCGCCCUGAACUUGUCUACGUGACAAGAUUCAGAUAAAGUGAAAGCACAGCAUACUGGCAACAGGAAGGAAGCGCUGCGUGGCGAUACGGAGCUGAUUUGGAGCAGAUUUACGUGACGUAUUCGCGUUGCGGUCCGCGCUUGUUACGACGGCACGUGGCGUGGCCUCGGCGCACCCCGACCGCACGUGACGCGUUUGCGGCGCGCCCCGACGAGCGCCGGGUGCGAGGUCCCGCCCAACGCUGCUUGCAGCUUUAAUUAGGGACCGAGCCAGUAUGAACUGGAAGGUCUCUAUUGUUUUUGCUUCGUUUAUUAUUAUUAUUAUUAUUUUUAGCGGCUUUGCUCGCAUUUUUCACCCCCUUAACGAUUAAAAUAUUCGCAUUUUAUUUGGCACAUUUGUCAAGCCUCAUUUAAAUUGGAGAUUCUAUGCGUCACAUGCAGGUCAGCCACUAGGAAGGCCACUAGGUGGCGCUAUUUGUAGGCAAAUUUCGUUAUGCUAAUAACUCCCGCAUAGUUUGUCUCACAUUCAAAAACCUUAUAUCCACGCGUUCGGUGAACUGAGCUGAACCUCCCCAUAUAGGCCACGCCCACUUCCGCCUAGAUUUUUUUUUUUCUAGAGCGCAAAAUGUCCAUAAAUGUCUGUUCCGGGGAACCUCCUACACACUUUGUCCGAUGCGCACGAAACUUUGCACGUUUCAUCUGUGGACCGUCCUGACAACAAAAGUAAUUUGAAGAAUUUUGAUAUUAUAAAACAUAAGGAAGUUAUACAAUUAGCACUUCCUGUUGAUUUUUCGUCAAAAAAGGAAGUGGGGUAUUUCUCCACGUUGGUAUGUCCGAUUUACACCAACCUUGGGUCAAUAGUUCCCCAUGUCUUCAUUAUGUAUCGUGCACAAUUUCAGGUCAUCACCACUAGGUGGCGCUCUUUAAAAUGAAGGAGUUUAUAUCUCUGCAUCGGCAAGUGUGAUUAAGAUGAAACUUGGUACGCUGCUUCCCCAUGGCUCCCUGAGGCUCACCUAAAAAGGACAAAAAAAAUACGCCACUAGGUGGUGCUCUUUUGGCAUGAUAAAUCACACGUAAUAGUUAUGAAUAUGAAAUUCACAGGGUACGUGUAGAGUGGUGCCUGAAGCUCACAUACCAAAAAUCCUGUUUGUCCUGCUUGUAGCGCCCCCUACAGGAUAAAAAAACAUCAGCCCCGGCGCCACGUGUCACCGACAUGUACGAAACUCGGUAGGCAUGUAUAAUGUGCCGGGGCGUACAAAAAAGCCUCUUGGACCCAUACCUCAAAUCCCACAGGAAGUCGGCUAUUUUCAUUUAAAAUUUGCACUUUUGGCGGCCAUUUUGUGGUCAUUUUGACUCUUUGGGCUUGUUUUAGAACUAACUGCUCCUAGGGAAUUUAUCAGAUCUGCUUCAAAAUUGGUCAGUACAGUCAAAACAUGGUGCUGAAUGAACGCAUUAUAUUUUGUGACUGUACGUUGAAGGGCGUGUCCGUGGCGUGCCCUCAAAGUCGGCCAUUUAGAACAAAUGUCACUGUGAUGUCAUUUUUGCAUUUCAGGGCUUCUAUUUGAAUGAUCCCCUCCUACAGCUUCUAUCGGAUCUUCUUCAAAAUUGGGCAGUACAGUCACAACAUGGGGCUGAAUGAACACAUAAUAUUUGGUGACUGUACGUUGAAGGGCGUGUCCGUGGCGUGCCCUCAAAGUUGGCCAUUUAGAACAAAUGUCACACUGUGAUGUCAUUUUGGCCUUUCAGGGCUUCUAUUUGAAUGAUUUCCUCUGACACGUUCUAACGGAUCUUCUUCAAAAUUGGGCAGUACAGUCACAACGUGGUGCUGAAUGAAAGCAAUAUAUUUUGUGACUGUACGUUGAAGGGCGUGUCCGUGGCGUGCCCUCAAAGUUGGCCAUUUAGAACAAAUGUCACACUGUGAUGUCAUUUUGGCCUUUCAGGGCUUCUAUAUGAAUGAUCUGCUCCUACACGUUCUAACGGAUCUUCUUCAAAAUUGGGCAGUACAGUCACAACAUGGUGCUGAAUGAACGCAUUUCAUUUUUUGACUGUACGUUGAAGG